GACAGAGGGUGCAAACGUUGUUCGGAAUUACUGGGCGUAAAGCGUGUGUAGGCGGCCUUAUAAGUCGGAUGUGAAAGCCCCGGGCUCAACCCGGGAAGUGCACUCGAUACUGUGAGGCUCGAGUAUCGGAGAGGUUGGUGGAAUCCUCGGUGUAGAGGUGAAAUUCGUAGAUAUCGAGAGGAACACCGGUGGCGAAAGCGGCCAACUGGACGAAUACUGACGCUGAGACACGAAAGCGUGGGGAGCAAACAGG
rnacentral:rRNA from 1 species